AUGCUUAACACAUGCAAGUCUACUUGAUCCUUCGGGUGAAGGUGGCGGACGGGUGAGUAACGCGUAAAGAACUUGCCUUACAGACUGGGACAACAUUUGGAAACCAAUGCUAAUACCGGAUAUUAUGAUUGGGUCGCAUGAUCUGGUUAUGAAAGCUAUAUGCGCUGUGAGAGAGCUUUGCGUCCCAUUAUUUAAUUGGUGAGGUAACGGCUCACCAAGACUAUGAUGGGUAGCCGGCCUGAGAGGGUGAACGGCCACAAGGGGACUGAGACACGACCCUUACUCCUACUGCAGGCAUCACUGGGGAAUAUUGGACAAUGGACCAAAAGACUGAUCCACCAAUUCUGUGUGCACGAUGAAGUUUUUCGGAAUGUAAAGUGCUUUCAGUUGGGAAGAAGUCAGAGACGGUACCAACAAAAGAAGCGACGGCUAAGAUACGUGCCAUCAGCCGCGAUAAUACGUAUGUCUCAAGCGUUAUCCGGAUUUAUUGAGCGUAAAGCGCGUCUCGGCGGCUUAGUAAUUCUGAUGUGAAAAUGCGGGGCUCAACCCCGUAUUGCGUUGGAAACUGCUAAACUAUAUGACUGGAGAGGUAGGCGGAACUACAAGGGUAGAGGUGAAAUUGGUAGAUAUUUGUAGGAAUGCCGAUGGGGAAGCCAGCUUACUGGACAGAUACUGACGCUAAAGCGCGAAAGCGUGGGUAGCAAACAGGAUUAGAUACCCUGGUAGUUCACGCCGUAAACGAUGAUUACUAGGUGUUGGGGGUCGAACCUCAGCGCGCAAGCUAACGCGAUAAGUAAUCCGCCUGGGGAGUACGUACGCAAGUAUGAAACUCAAAGGAAUUGACGGGGACCCGCACAAGCGGUGGAGCAUGUGGUUUAAUUUGACGCAACGCGAGGAACCUUACCAGCGUUUGACAUCCCAAGAAGUUAACAGAGAUGUUUUCGUGCCUCUUCGGAGGAACUUGGUGACAGGUGGUGCAUGGCUGUCGUCAGCUCGUGUCGUGAGAUGUUGGGUUAAGUCCCGCAACGAGCGCAACCCCUUUCGUAUGUUACCAUCAUUAAGUUGGGGACUCAUGCGAGACUGCCUGCGAUGAGCAGGAGGAAGGUGGGGAUGACGUCAAGUCAUCAUGCCCCUUAUACGCUGGGCCACACACGUGCUACAAUGGGUAGUACAGAGAGCUGCAAACCUGCGAGGGUAAGCUAAUCUCAUAAAACUAUUCUUAGUUCGGAUUGUACUCUGCAACUCGAGUACAUGAAGUUGGAAUCGCUAGUAAUCGCAAAUCAGCUAUGUUGCGGGGAAUACGUUCUCGGGUCUUGUACACACCGCCCGUCACACCACGAGAGUUGGUUGCACCUGAAGUAACAGGCCUAACCGUAAGGAGGGAUGUUCCGAGGGUGUGAUUAGCGAUU
rnacentral:rRNA from 1 species